UUGAGGCUGACCAGGAGUGGACAGGGCGUUAGCUCGGAGCUAGCUGAGCAGCCUGAUGCAAGGACAUCACUUCCGUUAGCGCUGGCCAGAGUCAGAAGAACAGCUGUCCCUCUAAUCCCUCUAACAUUCAGGGUGAGGUUGUCUUUGCUCCAGAGACUGUUGAGCUCCUGAAUGAUGCUGCAGGUGAACCAUCACUARCAAAAGCUCCUCUGUCCUCCUCAAACUGGAGCACAAGAAAAAGUCUAUCUUCAGAGAGCUGGGAAGCAGAAAGACCCCGUCUGGUGAACACCACGGCAGCUCAGCAAAGUGUGUCAACACACUUAUGCCAACAAUGUGCAAGUAAUCCAGCUGCAAUUCGCUGUCGUGAUUGCCUGCCACGRCCCUUCUUAUGUGACAAARGUGAUGUGAUGAUGCACACCAGAGAUGUCCUUCACAACAGAGAAACACUCACAGCCGGAUUCUUCCAGCCAUUGCCUCCAACUACCUAUGUUCUAAACACAACUCUUUGCCAUGAAGACCCGAGUUCGAAUCUGUGGUUGUCCAUCGGAGUGUUUGAGGAUCAAACCAGGAAAGGCUGUUGUUGUGGUCACCKUCAAUGGUAUGAAUAUUUUUCUUGACUCAAAACCAAAAUAAAAUAAAAACCAAUGAUACCUAACUUUUAAAUAUUAACG